rnacentral:rRNA from 1 species
UGCAAGUCGAACGAGAAUCUGUGGAUCGAGGAUUCGUCCAAGUGAAGCAGAGGACAGUGGCGGACGGGUGAGUAACGCGUGAGGAACCUGCCUUUCAGAGGGGGACAACAGUUGGAAACGACUGCUAAUACCGCAUGAUACAUUUGGGUGGCAUCAUCUGAAUGUCAAAGAUUUAUCGCUGAAAGAUGGCCUCGCGUCUGAUUAGCUAGUUGGUGGGGUAACGGCCCACCAAGGCGACGAUCAGUAGCCGGACUGAGAGGUUGACCGGCCACAUUGGGACUGAGAUACGGCCCAGACUCCUACGGGAGGCAGCAGUGGGGAAUAUUGGGCAAUGGGCGCAAGCCUGACCCAGCAACGCCGCGUGAAGGAAGAAGGCUUUCGGGUUGUAAACUUCUUUUAAGAGGGAAGAGCAGAAGACUGUACCUCUAGAAUAAGCCACGGCUAACUACGUGCCAGCAGCCGCGGUAAUACGUAGGUGGCAAGCGUUGUCCGGAUUUACUGGGUGUAAAGGGCGUGCAGCCGGGAAUGCAAGUCAGAUGUGAAAUCCAUGGGCUUAACCCAUGAACUGCAUUUGAAACUGUAUUUCUUGAGUACUGGAGAGGCAAUCGGAAUUCCUAGUGUAGCGGUGAAAUGCGUAGAUAUUAGGAGGAACACCAGUGGCGAAGGCGGAUUGCUGGACAGCAACUGACGGUGAGGCGCGAAAGUGUGGGGAGCAAACAGGAUUAGAUACCCUGGUAGUCCACACUGUAAACGAUGAAUACUAGGUGUGCGGGGACUGACCCUCUGCGUGCCGCAGUUAACACAAUAAGUAUUCCACCUGGGGAGUACGAUCGCAAGGUUGAAACUCAAAGGAAUUGACGGGGG